UAUUUUAGAAACAAUUAUUAUGAGUGAACUGAAUUAGUUUUCUCUUCCCCUCAAAGUCUCAAACCUUUUAUAAUCAAGCUCCCCAAAAGUCAAUCUCAUCUAGCUAAUUGCUUUCAAACAACUUGAUUGUGUUUUUUUGGGUUACUUUUUUAAGCAAUAAACCAGUUUUGCUGUUAGUUUUGUCCAAGUUACAUUUUUCUUGGUUUUCAGUGAAGAGGAAACUAAGGAGAAUAUUUUUUCAGUAUUUCCCGUGACUAUGAGAUGUACUUUAGACUUGGAUGCGAGAUUGAUGAGGAGACACCUGAUAAGCUAGAAGUUUUUCAGAGCUAAGGUUGAAUCCUUAUUGGCCAGAGACAUGGAGACAUCUAUUAACAACACUACAAAGGAAGGGAGAUCAAUUAUCUCUACUGUUGAUACAUUGAUACACUAUACCCCUCUUCCUGUAGUUUUGUUGCCUUCAGUUCACUGCAUAUGCUUAGUCUGAGAAAGAGGGACAUUUAAAGUUUUUCUUGGUCACAACUCGCUUGCUUACACGGUUGAAAUUUCAUGUGGUGAACUGUUUAUGCUUUGUCUGAAAGACUUCUAAAGUAGAUUAAUAGAUCCUAAAGUAUAAUUUCAGCGGUGUUAGCUUGGCAUGGGCUCAAGAUGCAAGUUCAUUAUUUUACACUAUGUUAGAUGAAAGCAGUGGCCUAACAGGGUUUUUUGUAAAAAUACUUGGAUAUGAUCCUAUGAAUGAUUUUGCAAUAUUUAUAGAAAGUGAUUCCAAUUAUUGCGUGGAAAUAACAAGCACAAAAGAUGGCAAGUUCACAACUGUUAACUUGAACUUAAGGACUUCAUUGGAGGAAGGAAGUAGACAAAAUGAAAAAGCCAACUCUUUUUUGUGGGUUUGUGAGUGUGUCACCAUUUUGCUGAGAAAAAUUGGUGUGAGUGCUGCAUCAGAGGGAGAAUUGGGAUAUUUGAAUAAAGGUGCCCCUUGGAGCAGUUGCUUUUAUGUACUUAUCAUUUACUUCUCUUUGUUUCUGGUUAGAUAAUGUUAUUCACCAAUCACAUGUACCUUAAGGUGAUUGGAGCUUCACAAAUAUAAUUUUAGAUGUGGUUAGGUUACAUUCUAUAUGAAUACUUGAUUCAUUUUCUAUAUAUUUUUGCAUUCCAUGGA